GGCAUGGCGGCAUCUAUAAUGCAGUCGAGCGGACCGAACGAGAGCUUGCUCUUGUUCGGUCAGCGGCGGACGGGUGAGUAACACGUGGGCAACCUGCCCGCAAGACCGGGAUAACUCCGGGAAACCGGAGCUAAUACCGGAUAACACCAAAGACCGCAUGGUCUUUGGUUGAAAGGCGGCUUCGGCUGUCACUUGCGGAUGGGCCCGCGGCGCGUUAGCUAGUUGGUGAGGUAACGGCUCACCAAGGCGACGAUGCGUAGCCGGCCUGAGAGGGUGACCGGCCACACUGGGACUGAGACACGGCCCAGACUCCUACGGGAGGCAGCAGUAGGGAAUCUUCCGCAAUGGACGAAAGUCUGACGGAGCGACGCCGCGUGAGCGAAGAAGGCCUUCGGGUCGUAAAGCUCUGUUGUGAGGGACGAAGGAGCGCCGUUUGAAUAAGGCGGCGCGGUGACGGUACCUCACGAGAAAGCCCCGGCUAACUACGUGCCAGCAGCCGCGGUAAUACGUAGGGGGCGAGCGUUGUCCGGAAUUAUUGGGCGUAAAGCGCGCGCAGGCGGUCCUUUAAGUCUGAUGUGAAAGCCCACGGCUCAACCGUGGAGGGUCAUUGGAAACUGGGGGACUUGAGUGCAGGAGAGGAGAGCGGAAUUCCACGUGUAGCGGUGAAAUGCGUAGAGAUGUGGAGGAACACCAGUGGCGAAGGCGGCUCUCUGGCCUGUAACUGACGCUGAGGCGCGAAAGCGUGGGGAGCAAACAGGAUUAGAUACCCUGGAAGUCCACGCC
rnacentral:rRNA from 1 species